rnacentral:rRNA from 1 species
AGCUCCAAUAGCGUAUACUAAAGUUGUUGCGGCUAAAAAGCUCGUAGUUGGAUUUCAGUCAUAGGCCGGUGGUCCACCGCCCGGUGGCUACUGCCUGGCCUAGGCACCUUGCCGGCUCUCCUGCGAUGCUCUUGACCGGGUGUUGUGGGUGGCCGGAACGUUUACUUUGAAAAAAUUAGAGUGCUCCAAGCAGGCGCUGCGGCCUGAAUAACACAGCAUGGAAUAAUGGAACAGGACCUUGGUUCUGUUUUGUUGGUCUUCGGAAGCUAAGGUAAUGAUUAAUAGGGACGGACGGGGGCAUUCGUAUUGCGACGCUAGAGGUGAAAUUCUUGGACCGUCGCAAGACGAACUACUGCGAAAGCAUUUGCCAAGAACGCUUUCA